UACGUAGGGGGCAAGCGUUGUCCGGAAUUAUUGGGCGUAAAGAGCGUGUAGGCGGUCCGGUAAGUCCGCUGUGAAAGUCGGGGGCUCAACCCUCGAAUGCCGGUGGAUACUGUCGGGCUAGAGUGCGGAAGAGGCGAGUGGAAUUCCUGGUGUAGCGGUGAAAUGCGCAGAUAUCAGGAGGAAUACCGGUGGCGAAGGCGGCAUCUUGGACCGGCAUUGACGCUGAUGAGCGAAAGCUAGGGGAGCAAACGGG
rnacentral:rRNA from 1 species